rnacentral:rRNA from 1 species
UAGGGAAUAUUGGUCAAUGGGGGCAACCCUGAACCAGCCAUGCCGCGUGCAGGAAGACGGCUUUCUGAGUUGUAAACUGCUUUUAUAUAGGAAGAAAAGACCAUGCGUGGUUCUAUGACGGUACUAUAUGAAUAAGGACCGGCUAACUCCGUGCCAGCAGCCGCGGUAAUACGGAGGGUCCAAGCGUUGUCCGGAAUUAUUGGGUUUAAAGGGUGCGUAGGCGGAACUUUAAGUCAGAGCUGAAAUGUCUGGGCUUAACCGAGUCACUGGCUUUGAUACUGGAGUUCUUGAGUACUGAUGAGGCAGGCGGAAUUUAUGAUGUAGCGGUGAAAUGCAUAGAUAUCAUAAAGAACCCCAAUUGCGAAGGCAGCUUGCUGGGCAGUAACUGACGCUGAGGCACGAAAGUGUGGGUAGCGAACAGG